UGUGGUAAUCGGCCGGCGGAGAUUGACCGGGAACGGAGGAUUCAGGACCAUAAACACGGAGGGAUCCAUCGGAACAAGCAACAAGCAAAUUUGAACCAUAAGACUCGACAGCAUCGAUUUUCGUCGGACAACUAUUGAGAAGUUCGAAAGAAUCGUAGGCACUGUGCACCAUUUUUUUUUAGCUUUCUUCUUCUUCUCCGAUCAAAUUUCUCUCCGUUCAACAGUCCACGCAGAACGACGUCGUGUUGACAUGAUAAUG
rnacentral:misc_RNA from 1 species